GCUUCCGUAGCUCAAAGCAUCAGAGCGGGCGGCUUCGAACCGCCGGGUUGCAGGUGAGAGUCCUGCCGGAAGCACCA
rnacentral:tRNA from 1 species